GGUGGCAAGCGUUAUCCGGAAUUACUGGGCGGAAAGGGCGUGUAGGCGGGAAUACAAGUCAGGAGUGAAAUCCCAGGGCUUCACCCUGGAGGUGGUUCUGAAACUUUUUUUUUUUAGUUUCGGAGAGGAAAGGGGAAUUCCCAGUGUAACGGUGAAAUGCGUAGAGAUUGGGAGGAACCCCAGUGGCGAAGGGGGCUUUUUGGACGAUAACUGACGCUGAGGCGCGAAAGCGGGGGAGCACACACAAAGGAUACCCUGGUAGUGCACGCGGGUAAAAGAUGGGGUACUAAGCGUAGGGGGGUAUCGACCCCCCCUGUGCCACAGUUAACACAAUAAGUAUCCCGCCUGGGGAGUACGGCCGCAAGGUUGAAACUCAAAGGAAUUUGACGGGGGCCCGCACAAGCAGUGGAGUAUGUGGUUUAAUUGGAAGCAACGCGAAGAACCUUACCAGGUCUUGACAUCCCGAUGACCGCUGUGGAGACACAGCUUCUCUUCGGAGCAUUGGAGACAGGUGGUGCAUGCUUGUCGUCAGCUCGUGUCGUGAGAUGUUGGGUUAAGUCCCGCAACGAGCGCAACCCUUGUUGUCAGUUGCCAUCAUUUAGUUGGGCACUCUGGCGAGACUGCCGGUGACAAAUCGGAGGAAGGUGGGGACGACGUCAAAUUAUCAUGCCCCUUAUGACCUGGGCUACACACGUACUACAAUGGCGAUUACAAUGGGAUGCAAUGUCGCGAGGCGGAGCCAAUCCAUAAAAAUCGCCCCAGUUCAGAUUGCAGGCUGCAACUCGCAUGCAUGAAGUCGGACUUGCUAGUAAUGGCAGGUCAGCAUACUGCCGUGAAUACGUUCCCGGGCCUUGCACUAAAGGCCCGUCA
rnacentral:rRNA from 1 species